AGUAGGGCCUGCCCACUGAGUAUUUAAAGGGCCGCAGUAUUUUGACUGUGCAAAGGUAGCAUAAUCAUUAGUUUUUUAAUUGAAAGCUGGAAUGAAUGGUUUGAUGAAAAAAUUACUGUUUCAAUAAAAUUUUUUUAGAAUUUUAUUUUUAAGUUAAAAAGCUUAAAUUUUUUUAAAAGACGAGAAGACCCUAUAGAGUUUUAUUUUAAGUUGAAUUUUAAUUUAAAGAAUUAAUUAAUUAAAAUUUUAUUUAAAAUUUAAUUGGGGUGAUUAAAAAAUUAAAUAAACUUUUUUUUAUAUUUUUACAUUUAUAUAUGAAUUCUUGAUCCAAUCAUUUGAUUAAAAGAAU
rnacentral:rRNA from 1 species